rnacentral:misc_RNA from 1 species
AAUGCACAUUGCGCCUUUUGGAAUUCCAGAAGGCAUGCCUGUCUGAGCGUCAGUACACUUUCCUAACCAAGAUUCUUGGCUCCAAGUUCUUGGGUGGGUCUUGGAAUUGGCAGGAAUGGUUUCCUGCCUUUUCUGAAAAGGAUUAGCUGGAAGCAGUGUUAUAGUUUAUCACUUAUCAUGCCAGCUUAAGGGGGUCUCCCCUUAUCUAUUUAAUUGUGGACCUCAGAUCAGGUAGGAACACCCGCUGAACUUAA